UACGGGGGGAGCAAGCGUUGUUCGGAUUUACUGGGCGUAAAGGGCGCGUAGGCGGCCACCGCACGUCGACUGUGAAAUCUCCGGGCUUAACCCGGAAAGGUCAGCCGAUACUGCGGGGCUAGAGUGCAGAAGGGGCAACUGGAAUUCUCGGUGUAGCGGUCAAAUGCGUAGAUAUCGGAAGGAACAUCAGUGGCGAAAGCGGCUUCCUGGACCAGCACCGACGUUCAGGCACGAAAGCGUGGGGAGCAAACAGG
rnacentral:rRNA from 1 species